UGCAAAUAUAAAGGUUAAUGGGUCUAACUUUGAUUAAGAGGCCCAUGAUCUGAAUUCUUAACUUUUAUCUAGCAACACAAAAAAACAAUCAAUUUAUUAGGUAUAAUCAAAUAUCCCUAGAAUAAGAUUGACUUUUUCCACUUCCCAUGAACUGAGAUAAUAUCAAAGGAAAUAUGGCAGGCACAAUAUUCUAUAACCUGUAAAUACUGGACGUCAAAUAAUCGACCUAUGAUGGUGCUCACAUCCAAAAGAAUUUAACAGGCACACUCAGUUGAAAAUGAAUAUCAAGUAAUCCACUCAACUUUCCACAUGAUAAUCCCAAUUUUAAGCACAAAAUAAUAUAACCAAAUUGAAAAUCAAGGAUUCAAGUGAAAGAAUGAUCAGUGUAGCAUCAACACAAACCCAGAAUUUUAAGACAGGAACAUUCCUUAUACAACAACAAACCCAGAAUUUUAGGACAGGAACAUUCGAAGAGUAUAACAUCUACGAAUUUAUAACAGUAUCCAUGGCCACAAAAUGAAACAGCAACAAUGUCCCGAGUCUAAAUUUGCAUAAAAUUAAACAUUCCAACAAUGUUCCUAAUAACUCAAUCAUGGGAUUCAAAUGUCGUUACCGUAAACGUUGUCGAUUUGAUGCCGCUGAAAUGGAACAUCAACACGAGGUUAUUGCUUGAUGGCUUUUUGACCAUCGAAACAAGCUUCAAUUUUUGCCCCUUAAUCCCCUUCUGGUACUGAAAUCGGCGGAGCAAUCGUUCUGCAAAACAAAAACCAAAACCGACUUGUAACCAGAUUAAGUAUUUAAACAACAACCAACAAUGAUAACUCGCAAAAGGUGGGUUGCGAGUCAGUUAAUUGAAGCGGAGAGACGCUUGGAUAGGUCGGUAGAGCUCAUUGAUUCGUGAGUUGUCUUUGGAGAUUUGCACUGCGGAACCGGAAUCGUGAGGUUUGAAGGUGAACGGCGUGUGAAGAUGAAAUCAACGGUGUAUGAGUUAUUGACGGCGAUCGAAGAGGGUUGCACGGCGAAGACCAAUAGCUGGACGGUUUUCGGUGGAUGGAGGAGUUUAACUGCAAUGGUGUUCGUCCGCGAGGAGGGUGAGUGGUUUGGUGGUGGCGUUUGGGUUUUGAAGAGGUUGAAGGUGGGUCGCGAGGUUGGACGGAGGUGUGGGUCGUGAUGCACGGUGGCUUUGUGUGAAGUGUGAUGGUUGAGAGAUGACGGUGGGAGUUAGCGGCGGAGACGAUUUGGGUCGUGGGUUUGUGUGGCGAUGGAAGACGGUGGUGCGGUGGAGGUUCAGGGUUGGAGUGAGGGCUUGGUGUUGAGAGUGGAAGAGUGAAUGAAAUGUGAGAGGGUUUCGUGUAGUUGAUGGGAAGGAGGCGGAGGCGAGGGUUUUGCGUGAGGGUUUUGUGAGGUUGAGUUUUGUGAGGUUGUUGAGAGAUGAUGGCGGUGGUUGAAGGAUUUAGGUGAAGGAGUGUUUUGUAUUUGCUUUCUUUUUUCAGAAAGAGUGAGCGAGACGAGAGAGAAGAGGGUGAGGUUGUGUGAGCUGAGAGUGGGGACGCAUGUUGUUAAAAUGAGUGGAGAGUGUGUGAGAGAUAUCCUUUUUCUUUUUUUGUUUUUUAUGUGAGGAGGGAAUCCAAUGCACAUAAGUUUUUUAUAAUUAUUAUUCAUUUAAAUAACAAGUCAUAAAAAACUAACUAAUAUUUAAUUUAAACACAUUCUAAUUAUUUUAAUUAAAUAUCUAACCAAAAAACAUUGACCCAUUAAAAACAGAAAUCGAGUACAAAUUUGUUCGAAAAGAUGAACCGGUCACACUAAAAUUGUCAGGACAAAAAAUACUUAUUAAAAAAAAUACAGCCUUUCCUCAAAUUCUGAAAUAAUUUUGCACUGAUUAAAAGGCUCAGGCGGUUCAAGAUAUAACCGAAACAGUCACUGUUGAUUUUGCCUAUUCUUGAGAAAUGAUUCAACUGAUUGGUCUGCCUUUUCAAUAAAUACAUUCUGACUGGCACUUUAGGCAUUAUUCAUGAUGCAAUGUAUGUCAUGCUAUGCAUAUGAUGCAAAAAUGAAAAUGAAAUCAGUUCUAUGAAAGUUGUAAAUAUGCCCGGACAAAAUUGGGGUAUGAUAGCUGCCCCUAUUUAAUUAACUUGAACUAGAAGGUAAGAAUGACGAUAGUCUUCAUACAUUCAUGGUGGAAGGUAAUUAAAUACGAAAAGAUCCAAAUUUUGUCCUUUGAAAUGCAAUGGAAUGGAUGCAGAAAGAAGAUGUAAUGGAUUCUAACAGCACCAAGGUGAUAGGGGUAGAAAGCCAAAUCAAUGUCAACCCUCGAGUCGACAUUCAGGUCUUGCAAAGGUCGUUAUUGGUGUGAGACAAAAACUGGACAUGUUUUCUGGCACCAAAAAGAUGACAGUGGAGUUAGUUUCUAUCACCAAAAGGAUGACAGAGAUUCACCAUGAUUUCCAGGAUCGUCAUCACCAAAAGGAUGAUGGCUAAGUUGAGCUUCAGAAGUAGUUAUCACCAAAAGGAUGAUGUCCGUCACCAAAAGGAUGAUGUUUAUUCUGAUAAAGUUUUCCGAUUACCGAGAGUAUAAUAUCAAGGCUAUCACCAAAAGGAUGAUAGUUGACUCAUCAACUUCAAAUAUCACCGUCACCAAAAGGAUGAAGGUAAUAUCCAACAAUCAAAACUUGUUAUCACCAAAAGGAUGAUAAUAAGUCAAAUAACUUCAAUGAUCACCAUCACCAAAAGGAUGAAGGUAUAAUCACACAAAAAACUUGUUAUCACCAAAAGGAUGAUAAUAAGUCGAAACUCCAUGAUCACCAUCACCAAAAGGAUGAAGGUAUAAUCACACAACAAACUUGUUAUCACCAAAAGGAUGAUAAUAAGUUGAAACUCAAUGAUCACCAUCACCAAAAGGAUGAAGGUAUAAUUAAAACAGAACUUGUUUCCACCAAAAGGAUGAUAAUAAGUCACACAACUCAAAGAAUCCCCAUCACCAAAAGGAUGAUAGUAAGAUCAAAACAAAACCUUGUUACCACCAAAAGGAUGAUAAUAAGUCAACAAUCACCAUCACCAAAAGGAUGAAGGUAUAAUUAAAAGACAAAACUGUUACCGCCAAAAAGGACGAUAAUAAGUCGACAAUCACCAUCACCAAAGGAUGAAGUAAUAUUAAAAGACACAACUGUUAUCGCCAAAGGACGAUAAUAAGUCACACAACGCAUGAUCACCAUCACCAAAAGAUGAAGUAAGAUCAAGACCAACUUGUUUCACCAAAAGAGAUAAAAGUCAACAGAUCACCACACCAAAAGAAAGGUAUGUUCAAACGACAAAACUUGUACACAAAAGGAUGAUAAUAAGAAACACAACGCAUUGAUCAACCUCACCAAAGAUGAAGUAGGAUCAAGACCACCUGGUUAAUCACCAAAAGGAUGAAGGUAAGGUCAAACGACAAAACUUGUUACCACCAAAAGGAUGAUAAUAAGCACUCAGCGCAAUUGAUCACCAUCACCAAAAGGAUGAAGGUAGGAUCGAGACACAAACUUGUUAUCACCAAAAGGAUGAUAAUAAGUCAACAAUCACCAUCACCAAAAGGAUGAAGGUAUUGUCAAACAACAAAACUUGUUACCACCAAAAGGAUGAUAAUAAGUACAUAACUUCAAAACUUGUUAUCACCAAAAGGAUGAUAAUAAGCUGAAACAGACUCAAUGAUCGCCAUCACCAAAAGGAUGAGGGUAAGAUCAAAACAAAACUCAUUAUCACCAAAAGGAUGAUAAUGAGCCCAUAACUCAAAUGGUCACGGUCACCAAAAGGAUGAAGGUAAGACCAAUCAACAAAACUUGUUACCACCAAAAGGAUGAUAAUAAGUCAAAACUUCAAAACUUGUUAUCACCAAAAGGAUGAUAAUAAGUCGACAAUCACCAUCACCAAAAGGAUGAAGGUACUACAAACAACAGGACUCGUUAUCACCAAAAGAAUGAUAAUGAAUCAACAAACACCAUCACCAAAAGGAUGAAGGUGAGAUCAUAACUUUGAAACUUGUUACCACCAAAAGGAUGAUAAUAAGUUAUAAUAACUUCAACUAUUGCCGACACCAAAAGGAUGACAGUGGGAUUGAACUUUCCAAAUGUCAGCAUCACCAAAAGGAUGAUGGCUUAAACCAAGCUUUAUAAUCUCUAUCACCAAAAGGAUGAUAUUUAGCUUUGAACUGGACAUCAUCACCAAAAGGAUGAUGGUUGAACCAAAAUGACAAGGAUCCUUAUUACCACAAGGAUCGCCGACACCAAAAGGAUGACGGUAGGCUGUAAUAAUUGCAGAGGUCACCACUCACCAAAAGGAUGAAGGUUGGACCAAAGCUUCAGGGAUCUUCGACACCAAAAGGAUGACAGUAAGAUCGCAAAUGUCAAGGGUUUACCAUUACCAAAAGGAUAACGGCCACCAUAAACAGGGUGAUGGUUAAUAUUAUUCCUCAAUGGACUUUCACCAAAAGGAUGACAGUGAGAAAAAUAUUGGAACCACCAUAAACAGGGUGAUGGUUAAUAUUAUUCCUCAAUGGACUUUCACCAAAAGGAUGACAGUGAGAAAAAUAUUGGAAAAAUAAGGCUACUGUCAAAGUUCAGUAAACCUGAUUUGCUGGGUAGUGUUGGAACAUCACUGGGUAAGAUUUUCUUGGGGUAUCAACAACAAAAGGUUGCAGAACCAAUAUUCUCUGGGGAGAUGUAGUUUCUAUCAACAAAAGGUUAUAGGAAACGACUCAUUGAGGGAUGCUCAACGCGAAACAAGGUAAGUGUUUAGAGAAACAUUGUUUGACUAAGCUGAGGAUAACAUCUUAUCAACAAAAGGUUGAAGGAUAUAUUUUAAUGGGGAACGACCGAUAGUAGGGUAAGAACUCACUCAGAGAAAGUGACAAUGACUCAACUGAGGGUUGACCUGGAUGCCUACGACUAAACCUUGGAUUUUGAUUUGUGCAAUAUGCAUAAAUGUCAUGUAUGCAUUAUGUAUGAGGUGAUGCAUAUGAUGUAUGUGAUGCAUGUUUGAAUGCAAAGACUGAUUGGUUUGUUUGGGAUUGGCCCCCCUCUUCAAAGGCAAUGUGUUUUCUGGAAACCAGUGUUGGUUGUAUUUGUUUUUGUGUGGGUGCCAACAAGGUGGACUUUGGCUUUUCUGGUAAUUGUCAAUGUGGAUUGUAUUGUUGGUUGGUGAAGGGAUCUGACUGCCCGACACUCGGUAGUUGAUAAUGUGAUGAACACGCAAUAGGUGUGGAUGCUCUUGGUGCCCCCAGUUUGAUCUCUUGCUGAUAUGUUGUGUAUUUGUCUUCGAGAAGAUCUCAGUUCUUCUUCUGAAGUGUUUUGGCCAACCUGUGACUGAGCAUAGCGAUGUGAUCAACGCAUGUUGGUUGUGCUUUUGACAUGCCCUAAGGAUUCUUGUCAAGGUAUGAUGUUGUGCUGGUAUGAACUUUUGACGUUUUUGUUGUGAAUUCAAGCAGUUUCUAGUGGCUGGCGCAAUCUGCUUGACUGACUUGAAGAUAUGAAGGGAGUUUGCCCCCUUGCAACUUGUCUUGCCCCUGACUGUAGGGUACCAAAUGAAUUCUCCUUGAAAGGAAACCUUUAGGAGUGAUUAUCCCAUGACAUGGUCUGAGUCUGUUUCCUUCAAUGUCCUGAAUCUCGCAAUGGUCUGCCCCUGAUUAGCCUUUGGGGAACUUGCCCCAGACGGACUGAAUGUUGAAGUGUUUUUUCCCUCCAUGAUCAACCGAUGCUUGGAGAUUUAUCUUAUACUGGCUACUUCUUAGGUUAAUAUAAUCAAAAGAUGCCAUGCCUCUGAUUCACAGGACGGUCUUGAUUCGUGUCAGCACCAACGAUCAAGUGCCUCUUGAAUUGCCCCUUGUUAGAAUUUACUCGAUGUCAAGUACUGACUGACAAUUAAGAAUUGUUAUUCAAGAAAUGGUGAUUUUAAUGCAACAGUUAUGCAAGUUUUGAAAAACAAUCAUUCAUUUGGAGUGUUGUGGUAGUACGUGGCGAAUGGACCGUGAGUCCAAACGCGGUGUUGAUUUUAGCUAGUGUGUGAAUGAUAUAGUGAGAAGAGAAUAUUAACAAAUCUUUGGGAGUCAGUUUACUCAACCUUGCUAUAGUAUGCUUUUAGAACAAACCUUACUUCAAUUAGGUCUUCUGAAGGUUGUAACGUGGCUUGGUUCAUGGUUAUUGAAACAAAAGGAUAUAAGGCUCAAAGUUUAUUUUAACCCACCCCUUCUUCAUGAUGAUCUCCAAAUACUUCAAUUAGGUCUUCUGAAGGUUGUAACGUGGCUUGGUUCAUGGUUAUUGAAACAAAAGGAUAUAAGGCUCAAAGUUUAUUUUAACCCACCCCUUCUUCAUGAUGAUCUCCAAUCCUAUGUUCAAUUAACUCACACACAUUCGUCUUUUGCAGGUGUAAGGAUAAAGAUGGUGAUUCAAGGUCUCUUGGAAUGACAGCCAUCUUAUUUUGCUUUUUGGAUGUCGGUGACCCUUUGAUUUUGGUAUGGUGGUCACAUAAUCUUGUUUUGUUUUGUUGGAGACUUUCAUUGUCUCUUUCGAUUUUUGUUUUGAUCCCUAACUUUUGCAUGGACCGCUCUGUUUGAAGCUUUAAUCCAUCGGGAUUGCCCCUGUUUUUACCUAAGUCUCCUUUCAGGGUGUUGGACUUAGCGGGCUCUUUUUUUUGACUUUUUUUUUUGAAAUUGUGACUGCAAGACAUUGGUCAUUGAAGAAUAACAGACAAAGAAUUUGGAUUUGUACGGUUCCUUCGACACUUCAGGAUGUGUAUGAAGAAUAUCGUGUGGUUGACCCUUGUAUGGGAUAUUUCAUCUUGUGAUUCAAAAGUGUAGUUAGAUUAACUGAACACUACCCUGGCCCUGGUUAAGCGUACGGGUUUUUUAGAUCUGAAAGGAACUCCUACUUCUAGGCUUGAAGUGGUUGACUAUGGAUUAACUCCUUAUCUCUCCAGUGUUUGGGGAUUUGAAACAGUGCCUGUACAUCAUUAGCAGGGUUUUAUCCGAAAGCAUUCGAUCAACAAUUAUGAGUAUUUUGUUUUCGUCAUCCUCCUUCCAACAUUUACUAACAAUAGUGCGAUAAAGGAGGUGAAGUGGAAAAGUAUGUGUUUGUGCUUUGCAAAUGUGAUAGAUGAGUGAAUAUGAAAGAUUGAUUCAAAGCAUGCAUAACCAUCCCAUUAAUAAGACCAAAUAAAAAUAACAAUGUUUAAAGCAUAUAGUACUUAGACAGACAAGAUCAAAUUACAAGAAUGCAAAAUGGUAAAAAUGGCAUAAUGAUCGCCUUCAUUCAAAUGAACAAGCCUCCAUCUUUGGAUUCUUCGGCGGAAUCUCUGCUUGUUCAGGCAGGUGGGAAGCUUUACCUUCGAGCUUCACUCGACUCUGCAUGCGCUGGCAUGGGAUUUGUCGUGAUAUUUGGCCUCACUGACGUGAAUGUAACUGCUUUACUGUCAAUCAGAUCUUGGACCUUAUGCUUGAAAGCCUUACAGUUCUCUAUUGUGUGCCCUGGGGCACCCAUGUGAUACUCACAGUGAGCAUUGGCAUCGUAGCCUGGAGGGUAAGGCGGAGUUGCAGGUGUUAUCUCUUUUAGAACAACCGAUCCAUCCUUUAACAGGUAGGGGAGGAUCUUGCUAUACGAUACUGGCAGAGGAUCAAAAUGUCUUUCUAGCCUCCUUGCCCUCUGCUGAUUAGGUGGACGUGGUUGUGGAACACGUUGCUGUUAAUUUUGAUGCGGCUGUUGGUAAGCCAGCUAUUGAUAUGGUUGUUGAUAUUGUUGCUGAUGUGGUUGUUGAUAUGGUGUUGGGAUGACAGCAGCAACCUGAGGGUAAUGCGUAUGAGCAUGCGAAGGUGCCCUAUAUCCCCCUCCUCUCAUUACGGCAUUGGUCUGCCCUUCUGGCUUCUUCGGGAGAUUAGGAUAAGGUUUCUUUAUCCCACCUGAAGCAUUGGCAGUGCAAGGUAGCUUUCCCUUCUUGAUCUGACUCUCAAUUCGUUCUCCCAUGGAGAAGACCUCAGCAAAAGUUGGGAAACUGGAUCCUACCAUUUUCUCCAUGUAUUGGGUAUGCAUAGUUCCCAUAAACAUGUCAAUUAGCUCUUUGUCCAGGAGAGGAGGUUGGACACGAGCUGCAAGCUCUCUCCACCGUUGUGCGUAUUCCUUGAAUGACUCGUUGUUGCGUUGAGUCAUGUCUUGCUGUUGAGUGCGGUUGGGUGCUAGAUCAGUAUUGUACUGAUAAUGCCUUAGGAAUGCUUCAGCGAGGUCUCUCCAUGAUUGGACCUGUCCUCUCUCCAGUUGCAUGUACCACUCCAAGGAUGCCCCACUCAGACUAUCUUGGAAGUAAUGAAUCAAGAGUUGAUCAUUACUGAUGUGGGCAGCCAUUUUGCGACAGUAGGCUCUGAGAUGGGUUCUCGGGCAGCUGAUCCCUUUGUACUUGUCAAAGUCUGAGACUUUGAAUUUUUGCGGAAUCACGAGUCCAGGCACGAGGCACAUGUCAACAGCGUCUAAACUGGGAGUAGUGUGAACCUCCAAGGACUUGAAUUUCUCUUCCAGAGCAUGGAGUCUAUCAACAGCUGGGUCUGGGAGACCUCCAACAAUAGGCUUGGCGGGUUGUGGCAUGAAGAAGGCUUCAUAUGGAUCUUCAUCACCCAUCAUUGAUCCAUGUCGAGCAGAUGUAGCAGAAUGCUCAUGAGGGUUUACAUUGACCAUUGGGAUUGGAAUAGGGAUCGGUCCUCCUCUAGGCUGAUUAGGGUUACCUUCAAGGUCAAUCACUCCAGGGAUACUGAGCGAUGGUGAUCCAAACUGGGCAGCAACUUUCCUAGCUUCGGCGCUGGUCUCAUCAUCCUUCCCCUUCUGGGCCAGGAGUAACAUGGUUUCCAACAAGCGGUCCAUCUUUGCCUGCAUGGAGUCAAUGUCGGUCCUCAUCGAAACCUGGUUUGCUUCCAACUGUUCAAGUGUCAUCUUGUAGUUGCGGCGUGUCUCGUACCGGUGUCGAGUAGUCAGCGUUAUUGGACAAAGGGUAGAAUAUGGCGUGAGUUUUUGUUGUUUUUGGAUAAUGAUAUGCAAUGCAUGUUGAUGAUAUGCAAAUGCAUGAAGUUUCUCCAUGUUUUUUUUGCAAGGAAUACAGAUACUCAUGAUCAUCCACACGUCGGUUACAUCAGGAUAAUAGGAAAAAGCACGGGUUUCUUCGAUUACUGGAAAUUCCCCAAAGGUAGGUUCUAAAGUUACGUUUUCAAGAAAGGAACUUAGACUCACGGAUCAAGUUCAAAACUUCCUCGCAAUGGUGGUCUACCCACAUCGUGAUGGGAAUUCUGAAAUGAUCUAAUCUAAGCGGGAUUCUCGUAUUGUUCGAACAGGGUGUAGACCCUUCGGUUCAACACUACACAAUCACCAAUCAUGAAAACAAAACUUGGGUUUAAGGCGAGGUCCCUAGAGUCACGGAUCGUGUUUAGAACCUCCCCCACAAUGAUGGGCUAGCCAUAUUGUGAUGGAAACUCCAAACAGAAGGCGAGGUCCCUAGAGUCACGGAUCGUGUUUAGAACCUCCCCCACAAUGAUGGGCUAGCCAUAUUGUGAUGGAAACUCCAAACAGAUCUACUCUAGGUGGAGUCUUCGUAUUGUCCCAAUGAGGUGUGCACCCCCCGGUUCAAUACUACACAACUCUGGGUUCUAUGUUUUUUCUCGAAGCUCGGGUAUGGAGCUUAUCUCACAGCAUACACCAAGUCCCAUAUCAAAGUAUCAAAACAUUACAUACAAGUAACAUAAUAAAAAUACAGAGAAACAAGCACGGAAGAUAAGAAUAUCUUCUAACAGUCACAGCAAAAUUAAACUAAGUUAGGCUAGACUCUCUCUUGCUUGGAGCAGGGUCCCCAGCAGAGUCGCCAGUCCGUCGCACCUCAAAAAAUUUGCUAAUGCGAUCCCUCGCGAUAGGAUGCGGAAAAAAUGUCCCCAGCAGAGUCGCCAGUCUGUCGCACCUCAAAAAAUGAUAAUGCGAUCCCUCGCGAUGGAACGCGGAAAAAUGUUAGUUCGAAACAGAGUCGCCACCGAACUUUAUUCAUUCCAAUGAAGGAAUAGGAAAAUAUCGAGAAAACCUUUAGAAAUAAGAAUAAUGGUCAUCGCAACCAUAUUCGGGUUCGGGAGUCGAUUAUGCAAGGGGAAGGUAUUAGCACCCCUCACGUCCGUUGUACUCAACGGGAACCUUUUAGUCUGAUUUUGCUAUUUGACUGUUAAUUGACUGUUAUCUGCUUGCUUCGAGUGAUUAGAAUUGAUGAUAGAUAUGGAUGAAGACCUCAGGAGGGGGAAAUGGGAGGUUUUUUAUUAGUGUGCUCGCGAAGAUACAGCAAUCUCCUGCCUACGUAUCCUUAUGGUGCAAUAAGGAAAUCAGAGCAUUCGUAGUUCGGGCUACUACGAAGAUUUGGUGUGUUUUUUUUUUAUGAACGACUGUGUAGGUCGGCGUUCUAACGGCUAAACGCUGGCUUGUCUACUCUCAGUGGAGGCUCUAGCACUGGUUUGUUGUGCGCAUUAGAAAGGAUUGACAGUGUUCUUUUUGGAAGGGUUUUGGUCACGCGGGGGUGACAAGUUGAAUUGACGUGUUUGGUGUUUGGUUGUUUGGUUUCGAUCGCUCGGGGGCGAGAAAUUAGGUUUGAUUUGUUUGAGAUGUUUUUUGAAGAACGACGAAAGAUUGAGCAAUGUGGUGUUUACCAAUCGUCCAAUUCUUUCGAGGAGUAGUAAGGCGUCCGCCUUCUACUUCUUUUUCGUUCGAAUUAUUUUAAAAGUUUGUUUGUGGAUGUUGAAUAUGCACGGUAGUGAGGCGUACGCCCCCUACUUGCUUAUCCAAAGAAUAAUGAGGCGUACGCCACCUAUUCUCUUAUCCAAGUUAUUUAACGUGUUUUAGUCGGAAGUCGAUGAUUUGUGCAAUAUGGCGUACGCCAAUUAUUCAAAUAAUCGAGAGAGGAUGAGGCGCACGCCUCCCCUCUUUUAUCAUCCAAAGUUUAAAUUGUAAAAGAUAUGUUAAGAUGUCGUAUUCGAUUGCGUUUUAAAUUGAUGACGAAGAUUCGAGCAAUGUGGCGUACACCAAUUAUUCGAAUAAUCGAAAGAUAGUGAGGCGUACGCCUCCUAUCCUCUUUUCAUCUGAAAUAUGGAAUUAAAAGAAUUUGGAAUUUGUAGAAAUGAUUUGAAAUAUUAUGAUUUUGGUUUAAUCGGGUGACAUGAACUCGCGCAAUAUGGCGUACGCCAAUUAUUCGAGUGCUUGAGAAAUAGUGAAGCGUACGCUUCCUAUCUCCUUUUCAUCCCAAGUUUAUGUUUGAAAGAGAAAAUUCUUUUGAAGUUAGAUGGUUAUUGAGAAAUAGUGAAGCGUACGCUUCCUAUCUCCUUUUCAUCCCAAGUUUAUGUUUGAAAGAGAAAAUUCUUUUGAAGUUAGAUGGUUUGGAAAAAUGUUUGAAUUUGUGUUAUUAUAUUUGAUUUUUAAAAGUGAUUUGAAAUUGUGCGAUUAAAGACUUAAUCGGGUGACAAGAACUCGCGCAAUAUGGCGUACGCCAAUUAUUCAAGUGCUUGAGAAAUAGUGAAGCGUACGCUUACUAUCUCUUUUUCAUCCCAAGUUUAUGUUUAAAAGAGAACAUUCUUUUGAAAUUGAGUUGGUUUGGAAAAAUAUUUGAAUUCAUGUUUAGGAAUGAAAUGAAUUUUAUUUAGUGUACUAUUUCAUCUACUCGAUUAAUCAAUAACCGAAUAGGUUUCAUUGUAAGGAAGCCCAAGAGUAAGCUAUGUGAGGUUGAUGGCGAUGCUAAGAGCAAUCGACUUACAAGGGUGUUUUAAAAAUGGGCUCGAUAUUAAAUCGAGAAUUGUAUGAUUUGUGCUUUUUGAAAUUGGUUUGUGUUGUUGAUGAAUUGAUAUAAAAUUGAAAGUGAUUUAUGAAGUGAUGAUGGAAAAGAAAAUCCUUUAAUUGUUAUCAAAUUUUAGUUAAGUUGAUUAAUUGAAUUAAUUAAGAUUAAUUAUCAAAAUUAUUUAAUUAUCUCAAAUAAUUAAGUUAAUUAAGAUUAAUUAAUUAAAAAGAAUUAAUCAAACAAAAGUUCAAUUAAUAAUAAAUUUUUUUAUGAAACAAAAUAGUGUCAACGUUGAUUUAUAAAAAUUGAAUCGGUAACAAAAUGUGCUUAAGAACCGGUUUAUACAUGGCGGCAAUUGAAUUGGAAUGCCCCAUGUGAGAUCGAAACACGGUGAAGAAUGUUCAAUUGAUUUAUUAAGAACUUGGUGGUAUUGCAACAUGAAAUUGUCGAAUCCACAAAAUGAAUCCAAUUUAUUGUAGCGAAUGUGAACACUAGCGAAACAAUAUACUAUAAUAUUUACAAAAUUACACAACAUAUUGGAUGUGCAAAUAUAAAGGUUAAUGGGUCUAACUUUGAUUAAGAGGCCCAUGAUCUGAAUUCUUAACUUUUAUCUAGCAACACAAAAAAACAAUCAAUUUAUUAGGUAUAAUCAAAUAUCCCUAGAAUCAGAUUGACUUUUUCCACUACCCAUGAACUGAGAUAAUAUCAAAGGAAAUAUGGCAGGCACAAUAUUCUAUAACCUGUAAAUACUGGACGUCAAAUAAUCGACAUAUGAUGGUGCUCACAUCCAAAAGAAUUCAACAGGCACACUUAGUUGAAAAUGAAUAUCAAGUAAUCCACUCAACUUUCCACAUGAUAAUCCCAAUUUUAAGCACAAAAUAAUAUAACCAAAUUGAAAAUCAAGGAUUCAAGUGAAAGAAUGAUCAGUGUAGCAUCAACACAAACCCAGAAUUUUAAGACAGGAACAUUCUUUAUACAACAACAAACCCAGAAUUUUAAGACAGGAACAUUCGAAGAGUAUAACAUCUACAAAUUUAUAACAGUAUCCAUGGCCACAAAAUAAAACAGCAACAAUGUCCCAAGUCUAAAUUUGCAUAAAAUUAAACAUUCCAACAACUUUCCUAAUAACUCAAUCAUGGGAUUCAAAUGUCGUUACCGUAAACGUUGUCGAUUUGAUGCCGCUGAAAUGGAACAUCAACACGAGGUUAUUGCUUGAUGGCUUUUUGACAGUCGAAACAAGCUUCAAUUUCUGCCCCUUAACCCCCUUCUGGUACUGAAAUAGGCGGAGCAAUCGUUCUGCAAAACAAAAACCAAAACCGACUUGUAACCAUAUUAAGUAUUUAAAUAACAAGCAACAGUGAUAACUCGCAAAAGAUGGGUUGCGAGUCAGUUAAUUGAAGCGGAGAGACGCUUGGGUAGGUCGGUAGAGCUCAUUGAUUCGUGAUUUGUCUUUGGAGAUUUGCACUGCGGAACCGGAAUCGUGAGGUUUGAAGGUGAACGGUGUGUGAAGAUGAAAUCAACGGUGUAUGAGUUAUUGACGGCGAUCGAAGAGGGUUGCACGGCGGAGACCAAUAGCUGGACGAUUUUCGGUGGAUGAAGGAGUUCAACUGCAAUGGUGUUCGUCCGCGAGGAGGGUGAGUGGUUUGGUGGUGGCGUUUGGGUUUUGAAGAGGUUGAAGGUGGGUCGCGAGGUUGGACGGAGGUGUGGGUCGUGAUGCACGGUGGCUUUGUGUGAAGUGUGAUGGUUGAGAGAUGACUGUGGGAUUUAGCGGCGGAGACGAUUUGGGUCGUGGGUUUGUAUGGCGAUGGAAGACGGUGGUGCGGUAGAGGUUCAGGGUUGGAGUGAGGGCUUGGUGUUGAGAGUGGAAGAGUGAAUGAAAUGUGAGAGGGUUUCGUGUAGUUGAUGGGAAGGAGGCGGAGGCGAGGGUUUUGCGUGAGGGUUUUGUGAGGUUGUUGAGAGAUGAUGGCGGUGGUUGAAGGAUUUAGGUGAAGGAGUGUUUUGUAUUUGCUUUCUUUUUUCAGAAAGAGUGAGCGAGACGAGAGAGAAGAGGGUGAGGUUGUGUGAGAUGAGAGUGGGGACGCGUGUU
rnacentral:lncRNA from 1 species